UACGUAGGAGACGAGCGUUGUCCGGAGUUACUGGGCGUAAAGGGUGCGCAGGUGGCGGCGCGCGUGGGGGGUGAAAUCGCCCGGCUUAACUGGGCGGGGGCCUUCCAGACGGCGUGGCUUGAGCAGCGGAGGGGGACGUGGAAUUCCGGGUGGAGCGGUGAAAUGCGUAGAGAUCCGGAAGAACACCGGUGGCGAAGGCGGUCUGCUGGGCAGUUGCUGACACUGAGGCGCGACAGCGUGGGGAGCAAGCAGG
rnacentral:rRNA from 1 species